rnacentral:rRNA from 1 species
GAUGAACGCUGGCGGCGUGCCUAAUACAUGCAGGUCGAGCGAAUGGAUUAAGAGCUUGCUCUUAUGAAGUUAGCGGCGGACGGGUGAGUAACACGUGGGUAACCUGCCCAUAAGACUGGGAUAACUCCGGGAAACCGGGGCUAAUACCGGAUAACAUUUUGAACCGCAUGGUUCGAAAUUGAAAGGCGGCUUCGGCUGUCACUUAUGGAUGGACACGCGUCGCAUUAGCUAGUUGGUGAGGUAACGGCUCAACAAGGCAACGAUGCGUAGCCGACCUGGGAGGGUGAACGGCCACACUGGGACUGAGACACGGCCCAGACUCCUACGGGAGGCAGCAGUAGGGAAUCUUCCGCAAUGGACGAAAGUCUGACGGAGCAACGCCGCGUGAGUGAUGAAGGCUUUCGGGUCGUAAAACUCUGUUGUUAGGGAAGAACAAGUGCUAGUUGAAUAAGCUGGCACCUUGACGGUACCUAACCAGAAAGCCACGGCUAACUACGUGCCAGCAGCCGCGGUAA